rnacentral:misc_RNA from 1 species
AGCUAUCCAUUGGGCUGCCACAUGAUUAAUACAUGUACAAUUACAAUAUACGGUUUCAACUGUAUCAAAUGCUGCACAGUUCCGACCAAUCACAGUGUGAAUUGUUAUUUGCAUCUUUAAAUUUAUUAAAUUAAUGUGAAGCUAUUAUGUACAUGGAUAAAGCUACAAAUGAGAUCAACAGACUACAUGCUAGCAACUAUAGAAGAAAGCUCUGUUUCUGCCUCUGGUUCUCCAUCGGACCCUUCCGCAUUUGUCUCUAAAUCCUUUGAUUUGUGUUUGGUAAGAUAUCGAUCCAAUGCACCCUUUCCAUAAAGGAUCUUGGCUCCAGU